GCCCAAAGAGAAUCAUUUACUUUCCUCUAAUGUAUUUUCUAAUUCGUUUUGACCCUUGAAUGUCUGUUUUGGUGCGUAUUCUCAUUCCAUGUCGAAUCUUAUCCAUAUGGACAACCCCACUUACAAAAAAGUCUAAUGAAUCUAUUGAUGUUCAUAUGAGGUUUGUGCUUUAGAUUUAGACCUCUCUCUCUCUCUCUCUCUCUCUCUCUCUCCACUUACAUGUCUUUCACUUACCUGUUUGCAUGCAUGCCCAUGCACACACUUGCAAGUUAAUACACAGUCACUCGUACUUGUGUUUUGGUUGAGCUACUGGCUGCUAACCUCUGUAAUUCAGUUUGAAACUUGCCCCCCUUAGUGCUUCACUCAAAUGGUUGGUUAGGGUGAGAUCUGUAUCGUUUUCCUGGUCUCUUUCCAAGGUUAUCUAAAGGGAUUUGGCAGUCUGAUUCUUUAGGGAAUAUCAUUGCAUAAGAUAUCUAUUGUUUGUUAAUGAAUAAUUUCUAUUAACUAGUUAUCUAUCUAAAUUGGUAAAUUUUAACUGCAUAAUUUGCAUGCAAUAAGAUUUUAUAAGAAUCUUGUUUUCAACUCAUGACUUAGACUAAUGUGAUAUGUUGAGCAUUAAGCUACAAGAUCUGCACAUCAGAGUGCUUCACGAUGUUAAGGAGAAAGCAUCUUUUUCUGCUUCUUAAUGUGAUUUAGAGUUUCCAUGUUACUUAUCCUAUAAAAUAUCUUUCAAGACUUUGCAAAUGCUUUUAUUUAUGACUGAGAGAAACUUGUUGGGUUGGUUUUUAGCAACAGACGGAGUUAUGGACUUUGUAUUGACUUGUUAUUGAUUAAGAUAGUACAUCGGCUGAUCUAUUGGUAUCAAGCAGCAGAUGCAGAAAUUAUGGGUGGCAUAUCAUUGUAUCCAAAGAGCGUACUACAUGGAAUUUUUCUGAUUUUCUGUUGGUCUCCGAGUGAAAUGCAGGCAUUUGCAGAUGAACUGGGGAUUCCUUUCCUGGAGACGAGCGCCAAAGAUGCAAUCAAUGUGGAGCAGGCUUUCUUGACCAUGGCUCGCGAGGUUAAGAAAAAGUAAAAUCACUUAACUCUUUCCUUCUUGCCUUAUGAUUGAUUCUGUGAUCCAUCACCCAUUUGUAAAUGCUGACUGUUCUAUUCAACAAUCACCAUUAUUGCUGGUUAUAUGCAUUGUGAUGAAAAUUCAGCAAUGAGUAACUUUUUACCUAAUGUUUUCUGUUGGAACAAAUUACUCUGGUAGAAAAGCCCUACAGGGUUUGAGAAAUCCCAUGAUGUGAUGAUUGUGAGCAUUUUAGACACCGUGUAUGGGUUUAUUUUUUGACUAUAAAAUGUUAAGAUUGUUUCUAGUUUUCGUUUGUAGUGCAUAAAAGGAUUCAAAAUUUGACAUCUGUCUAAAUCAGAUUAAUAACAUGAUAAUGUACAUAUGCAAGAUGUGAGGAAUUGUUUUAUCUCACCCCUAAACUUUAAGAAAUUGAAACAUUAUCAUUCAAAAUAUUUAACAUUUCCAGAAUUGAUAGUUGUCUAUUUGAGCAGUGACUGGUGGUUAUCAUGAACUGAUGUGUGGUUGUGGUGUCAAAUCUUGGUGAAACCUGUUGUCAUCUGCCGGUUAACAUAGCUAGUCUCUGAAAUAAUUUCUUGAUUCACUAAUUAUGAGUUCAAAUUUGAUGCAGGAUGGGCAACCAGCCUACUGCAAACAAAUCUUCUGGAACAGUUCAGAUGAAGGGACAGCCAAUCCAGCAAAACAGCAACUGCUGUGGUUAGCCGAGCCUGUUAUUUUACUACUACAUGUUAGCUGACUGAUUGUAGACAGUUUUAACUAUGUUGACUGCAUUAUCUUAUGAAUCUUUUAAUAUGUCAAAUAUUUAUUUCCUGCUUUAAGUUCUUUCCGUUUAUAACAAAUUUAAUUUCUUGCUUCAUCGCAUUCCAAAUUCCUGUCAAUUUACGAGGGAAAAAGAAAAGAGAGACGAAAUCAGAGAAAAUGGUCAAAUUUGUUAGGGGGAGAGAGCUGUUCAAGUAGUUUCUGUUCUUGUUUAUUGUCGUGACCCUCUUGUAGCUUGUCUAUGACCUGGAAGUCCGGUCAAAUCGGAUGGGUAAAGUUACCAAAACGGCAUCAUUUUGGGUGAAAUAUCAUAUUUAUGUCACACUUUUGAUAAUAAUUUUAAUGCAACAAAAAAUUGUUCGCGGUACCCUUUUCACAUUGUGAAGCGCAUGAUCGGAUGGGAGCAGUCUGGAUUCUGGCAUCACAAGCUAAUGCUUUGAUUUGCUUAGUUUGUUUUUUGUUUCUGAUAUUUUCUUGUCAGUGGGUGGGAUAUUGUUUCACUUUCGAGUUUCCUUUUUUUUUUUUGUUAUGGAAUUUGGAGAUAGUGUACAUGUAUGAAGAUGACGUAAUAAAGUUGUUUUGAUAAAUUCUCCUGGUCGGUUUACUUCACUAACCAUUAAUGCACAAAGCCACCUAAUGACCCUAAAAAAUCCCAUACAUAAUUAAAGAAUUUCAAUUUUUUUUGUUAUGGAAUUUGGAGAUAGUAUACAUGUAUGAAGAUGACGUAAUAAAGUUUUGAUAAAUUCUCCUGGUCGGUUUACUUCACUAACCAUUAAUGCGCAAAGCCACCUAAUGAUCCUCAAAAAUCCCAUUCAUAAUUAAAGAAUUUCAAUUUUAUAUGUACAAAAAUAAAUGACUCAAAUAUAUUAUUUGAUAAUUUCAAAAACAAUAAUUCACUCUAAUAAAUCUCGUAGCAAAUAUAUGAACUGUAUUGCAAGUCUUUUCGAGACUAAUUCAAAGGAAUACGAAUGACAUAUAAUUGACAUUUACCUAUCAUAAAGAACUCUAAAUAAAUUCAUAUAUGCAUCGCAGUUAAUUACAGCCUUGAUACUUCAAUUGGUUUUUGUUAAUUUUCUGUACAGUUAUGCUGUGCAUAAAAGUUUUGUUAAAUGAAAUUGAUAGGUGAAGAGAAUUUUUAGAAGCAGUCAUCAAAGUAAUGAUCAAUAUAAAUAUUGAUUGUCUCAAGUUAGAUUAUACAAAGAUGAAAUAAUGCUAAUAUAGUAAAUUCAAUCAUAAUAAUUUGACUUCCAUUAUAUUAAUUAUGUCCAAUCAUGCUACUUUAAUAAAGAACGCUCGAGCAUUUAUAUGUAUACAACAUACGAAAUUAAUUACAAAACUAUCUUUGACAAAGUCUGACCGGUCAACUAUCCAUCAAAUUUUGUAUUGUGUUACCGUUGAGCUCUUAUGUCAAAUAUGGAUAGACAGUGCUUUGGCUAACAGUGAGAUAUAUGCGAGCAUAAGAGCUUCGUUCUCUGUUUUUACGGUGUUUCUCUUUGUGGUUGUUGGACGAACUCUAAUGUGAAUUUCUAUCUAGUGGGUAUCCUGAUACUCUUAGUUAGUUUGGGAUUGUUGUUUUAUAUAUAAUAUUCAGUAUCCAAAAUUCAUAUGAUGAUAACCUUCAUUACUUUUGUCAUAUUUUCUUUCGUGUUGGUGUUAGUAUCUUAAUUUUGUACCCGAUGUUAAGGACAAUAUAUAGCUAAUUUGAAACUUCUAUAAUUUUACAUAUAUAGACGCAAAUUCAUUUUUAAGAGUGCAUUUAAUCAAGCAGUCCAGAUGUUUAUACUGAGUAAGUGGUUCAAUAUUAAUACAAAACUAUUUUAAGUAACAUGUGGCAUAUUCCAAUUCCAGUGAGCUUCCAACUCAGAUUCCCAAUUCAAAAGAAACGUUUUCAAUUUUCUCCAGAACAUUCUACAAAACGUUUCUUCUAGUCUCUACGCUGUGCUAGAAUUUUCUCUAAGUUUCUUUUGCAAAGACUUUUAAAGAAUUAUCCAAAUACCGAGCUUUCUUAGGGGGAGAGAGCUGUUCAAGUAGUUUCUGUUCUUGUUUAUUGUCGUGACCCUCUUGUAGCUUGUCUAUGACCUGGAAGUCCGGUCAUAUCGGAUGGGUAAAGUUACCAAAACGGCAUCAUUUUGGGUGAAAUAUCAUAUUCAUGUAACACUUUUGAUAAUAUUUUUAUGCAACAAAAAAAUGUUGUUUCACAUUGCUUAGUUUAUUUUUUGUUUCUGAUAUUUUCUUGGCAUUGGGUGGGAUGUUGUUUCUCUUUUGAGUUUCCCUUUUUUUUUUUUUAUUAUGGAAUUUGGAGAUAGUGUACGUGUAUGAAGAUGACGUAAUAAAGUUGUUUUGAUAAAUGCCCCUGGUCGGUUUACUUCACUAACCAUUAAUGCGCAAAACCUUCUAAUGAUCCUAAAAAAUCCCGUACAUAAUUAAAGAAUUUUAUAUUAUUUGAUAUGUACAAAAUUUUAUAUGUACAAAAAUAAAUAACUCUGAAAUAUAUUAUUUGAUAAUUUUAAAAACAACAAUUCGCUCUAAUAAAUCUCGUAAGAAAUACAUAGUCUAUAUUGUAAGUCUUUUCGAGACUAAUUCAAAGAGAAAAUACGAAGGACAUAUAAUUGACCUUUAUCUGUCAUAAAGAAUUCUAAAUAAAUUCAUAUACGCAUCGCAACUAAUUACAACCUUGAUACUUCAUUUGGUUUUUGUUAAUUUUCUAUACAGUUGUGCUGUACAUAAAAGUUUUGUUAAAUGAAAUCGGUAGCUGAGGAUUAAUUAAUCAAUUAAUUAAGAUCCAGUUAAUGUAAUUAAUUUUAUUUGAUUUUUUUAAUUCGAGUUCUAAAUUAAUCAAUUAAUUAGAUUCAUGUGAAAUUGAAGUGAAUUAGUUUCGAUAUGUUUUUCGUCCUAUGUUUGUCUGUGUUUACUCUCACUUUUUUUUUGUUUAAAUUUUCGUUUUCUUAUUGUUUACUGAAUAAAUUUCUGAGCUGUAUUUGAGUAUGAUGAUUGAUUUGUGAUUUUAAUUUGUGACUUUUUUUUUUGGAAUUUAAAUCUGAAUGCUUUUUAAGUUGAAUCUGAUUGUGUUGGGCCGCGAUUUAAUUGAGUGAUGUGUGAGCGCCAAAUUGUGAGAGCCAAAUAUUNNNNNNNNNNNNNNNNNNNNNNNNNNNNNNNNNNNNNNNNNNNNNNNNNNNNNNNNNNNNNNNNNNNNNNNNNNNNNNNNNNNNNNNNNNNNNNNNNNNNNNNNNNNNNNNNNNNNNNNNNNNNNNNNNNNNNNNNNNNNNNNNNNNNNNNNNNNNNNNNNNNNNNNNNNNNNNNNNNNNNNNNNNNNNNNNNNNNNNNNNNNNNNNNNNNNNNNNNNNNNNNNNNNNNNNNNNNNNNNNNNNNNNNNNNNNNNNNNNNNNNNNNNNNNNNNNNNNNNNNNNNNNNNNNNNNNNNNNNNNNNNNNNNNNNNNNNNNNNNNNNNNNNNNNNNNNNAUAAAUAACAUUGCAAUACAAUCUAGCCCUUACGUGUUUAAUUAGCAAUUACACGAACAUUAUAACACUCUGUUGCUGAUGCGGCAGCUAGUAAUUCUUCUGGUGAAGAUAUUAAGGCUGUUAAAGCUAAAAUGUAAUCAGAGAAAUAUAAUGCAUUCCCUUAGUUUGCUUUUUGUUUUUGAUAUUUGUUUGGCUAAUGCUUUGCUUAGAUUGCUUUUUGUUUUUGAGAUUUUAUUGGCUUAGUCAUGGUAUAUUGUUUUCUCUUCUAAUUUUCUAUUUUUGUCGUUAUGGGAUUUGAUGAUGGUGUACACAUACGAAAAUUAUGUAAUAAAGUGCUUUCAAUAAAUCAUGGUCGGUUUACUAUUAAUUAAUUAAAUUUAAUUAACUCAAAUUACUCUUGUACACAACCAAAAUAAUUUCAAUUCUACGAUAUGUAUACACACGCGCACACACAAACAAAAAGUAAUUAACUUUCAAAUAUUUGCCAUGCUAUUUUAAUAAAUAGUACUUGAGAAUAUAUAUAUCCAACAGGUAAAAUUUCAAAACAAUAUUUGCCGAAGUCUGAUGAAGAGAAUAUACACGCACACACAUAUAUAACCGUACAGCAGAAGGAUAAAUAAAAGAAAAUAAAGUUUCAACAGCUGAAUAAUGCAAACUCAUUUUUUUUAACAAGCAUUUUAUUGUUUAAUUUAAAAAAUUCGAAAACCGAUUGGUCUUAUAUACAUGAUAAAGACUCACCGACGCCGAACCAUAUUCAUUUAAAUUAGUUUCAACUGAGAUUUGAUUUGAAAUUACAUACACAAACACGCUCAAUUUAAAAAUAAAAAAUAGUAAUUAUAAAAUAUUUCUGUCGUCCUCCAUUCAAUUAUCAAAAAACGACUUUAUAAUCGAUUUUAACAUAAGGUAUAUGGGUUAACAAGUCCCAAUAUUGUCCUCCAUCCUUUCUGCACUUCUCUUCUAUCAACGGACAUCUCCAGAUCUGUAAUUGCAAAAGUGAGGAAGGCAGGCCCUUCUCCGGAAAGUAUUUAAGCUUGGGACAUCCAUGGAGUCGCAAUUCAGUGAGGUUUUGAAGAUCAACAAUUGAAGAAGGUAGGCGUUCCAGAUUUGAAAAUAAAAGAAUGCUCAGAGAUGUUAGAGAGGCAGGAAGAGGAAGCGCGGUCCCUAAUCUUUUGUCCUCUAGUGGAAAUGACACCAUGUCGUCAUAACAUCCUCCGAUUUCUAGAUGUCGCAUAGAGGAGAAUCUGUGAAAUCCCCGACCCCGCUCAACCAUUGACUUCCAAAUCUCCAUAUUACCCCUGAUAUGAAGUGACUGAAUCUUGGUGGGAAGGCCAUCUUCUUCAAGGCUUGGAAGCUCACCUCCUAUUCUUAAUUCUUGAACAGAAGUCAGGUUGUGCAAUCCCUUGGGUAAGGCCUCUAGUCUCUUGCACCAACGGAUACAGAGCUUAGUGACUUUCGCACAAGGCANNNNNNNNNNNNNNNNNNNNNNNNNNNNNNNNNNNNNNNNNNNNNNNNNNNNNNNNNNNNNNNNNNNNNNNNNNNNNNNNNNNNNNNNNNNNNNNNNNNNNNNNNNNNNNNNNNNNNNNNNNNNNNNNNNGAGACGUGUUGUAGUCCAACCUUUCUGCUAUGGACUCCAGAUUUCCACACAUCUGUAUACUAAUCUUUCGAAGCUGGCGGAGAUUAUGUAAACCACUCGGUAAAAUUUUGAGAUUUUCACAAUGAUAAAUGUUGAUUUUUUCAAGAGAUGUGUUGUUGUCCAACCUUUCUGCUAUUGACUCCAGCUUUGAACAAUGAGAAACAUAAAGGGACUUAAGAGACGGAGGUAGAUUGCCAACUUCAAGGGACUCAAGCGUGGCAGGUAACUCGUUUUUUGAAAAUAUACAUGUCAGUGAUGGACAAUCCCUAAUUUCCAACUCCUCGAGAAGAGAUGAGGUGUACCUUCUGCCGCUGCUACUCUGGAUGCCCUCUUCCACUGUCAAAGUCCUUAUAUUAUCGCAACGCCAGAUCUUCAACUUCUUAAGGCUCGAUGGUAGCUGGACAGCAGCAAUAUAUGUCAACGAACAACAAUACUGAAUAUUCAAGAUCUCGAGAGACGAAUGGGUGUCGCACAUCCAUGCCUCUGGUAACGAUUUCAGUGCAUCACAAUGCCCAAUCUGAAUUUCCUUCAACUUGGAAGGCAGAGCAACCUCAGGAAACGAAACAAGGGAACUGCAGUUGUAGAUUUCUAUCUCUCUCAAGGAACUGAGGCUGAACGAUGAUUGUGGCAGCUUCACAAGGCCUUCGCAUCGGUUCAAUUCUAGAUAUUCAAGUCUGCUUGACAAUUCGCAGAGCUGCUGUUGUUGGUCUUUCUCUUCCUCCGCCACCAAGGAUUGAAGUUUGGGACAUCUGUCAAUCGUCAGUCUUUUGAGAGAGCAAAUGUCUUGCAGUAAUUCGUUAUGACUCUUCCAUACAUAUGUUUCAUUUUCAAUAUUUUUUAUCUCCAAUUCUUCUAGUUUUGGUAUUCGCGGCUUCAAUGGCCCUGCGAGAAACACUUGAUUUGAUGUAUCUCUACAAACCACUGAAUUCUGUGAGCCGAGAUGAUCAGUUGCACUUCUCCACACAACCUUUUUACAUCCAUCCAUCUCUAAUUUGCAAAGAGCUGGAAGAGUCGCAAUUGAAAUUGACAAUUCUUCGCAUUCUACAAUAACAAGCAUCUCCAAUGCAGGAAGGUGCUCUGGAAAUGUUCCUUGUAGUUUAGAACAUCUUAAAAUGUGAAGCUCUCUCAAUUUAGGAAACCCUUCAACUCCCUGACUGGAUCCAUGAGGAAUCCAGUCUUCCCAUUCUUGCAAGUCUUCAAAACAAAGAGUCUCCAAGCAUGGAAAAGGAAUCGGGGAAUCAUUCCCAUAGAACUCUGAACCCAAACUCUUUACUCUACUCAUUCCACUCACUUCAAGAUGCUUUAGAGAGGGUAGUUGCCCGACUGACGGCAGGGUAGUACACACGCCGCAAUCUUGAAAAUCUAAGGUCGCUAAAUUUGAGAAUAAGGAAUCUCCCAACCAAGUUGGAAAUUCUUUACCUCCAUAGCCACCGAUACAAAUUUGUUCCAGAUUUUCAUGAGGUUUUAGCAUGUCGAGCACAUCCUUUUCAGUUUCUGCCUCCCUUGAAGACAAACCAUCGGUACUCCGUGUCCAUCGAAACCUUAACACUUUAAGAUUCUUCUUUCCAUCCAAUUGAGCCUCCUUCGCAUCACCAAUGUCUUUUACGUUCUCCAAUUUUGAAAUGUUAAGUGUCCCACGAAGAUGCGUCAACAAUUUUAGCUCUCGUAUCACGGAACCACUGUCUUCUCCCACAACAAAAUUACACAGCGUUUGAAGGCAAGUCAACUUACCAAUUCCUAGUGGCAUCUCCUCCAAUGAAUCUGUAUUUGAAUUAUCGAGAUGAUGCAAUUUGAUGAGGUUUCCCAUGUCUGCACACAACUUCUUCAGCCGCCGACAACCUUCCAAUAGAAGUGUGUGCAAAUUGUAAAGCUUUUUGACUGAUUCAGGCAGAGUUCUAAUAUCAGUUCCAGAUAGGUUGAGGUACCUUAAAUACCUCAAAUCACCAAUUGAAUCUGGUAGCUCGGAGAUGUGAUAUCCACACAAAGAGAAGACCCUCAAGCGUCGGAGUUUGAACAACUUAGGAAGAAUGCUAUGAGCCAAGUAUCCACGCGAACUAUUUGUCAACAUUACUGGUAAAAAAGUUCGCAAAUGUUGGAUAUCGUACAACUCCUCAAACCUUUUAACACCAUCGUAACCUCCACGAAUGUACGACAGAUGACGAAGAUUUCUUGGAAAGCUUUGUUGCUUGUCAACCUCUGAGAUAUCCUCCAUUCUGAAGUACAUUUCCCCAGCAGCCCAUUCAGCAAGGUCAUUGACGAGGUCAUGCAUCACAAAUCGUGAUAUGCUGUUGCUUGAUUGCUGGAAAAAAGAUCUUGCACGUAGCUCUUGAAAGAACUUUCGACCUAGAUCUUCACUUGGAUUCCCGCUCUCUCCGUGAUCCAAGAAACCCACAGCACUCCAUAAUAAAAUUAUCUCCUCCUCUUCAAAUUCAUAAUCCUUUGGAAACAAUGAGCAGUAUGCAAAGCAUUGUUUCAAAGGUGCCGAAAGAUAAUAGUAGCUCACUCUAAGCGCCGGUAUAAUGUCACAUCUCUCUUCUGGUAAAUCCCAUAUCUUGCAACUGAGCACCCCUUCCCAAUCACUCCGGUCAAGUUUACCACGCAAGAGACCACCAAGAGUUUUCGCAGCUAAGGGCAAGCCGUUGCAUUUGAUCACUAUCUUCUUGCCAAUUUCCUCCAAUAACUUGUUUGAACUGAAAUCUCUUGUCCCCAAAGAGUGUUGAGCGAACACAGACAGACAAUCAUCAUUUGACAACUUUUUCAAUUGAUAAACUGGAGCAGUCCCCAUGAUGGCUGCAACCCCUUGAUUACGAGCUGUGACAAUAAUCUUACUUCCCGGUGCGCCAGCUUCAAAUGGAGGUCUGAGUCGAUCCCAAUCAUUGUAAUUCUCAUUCCAAACGUCAUCUAAAACAAGCAAAAAUUUCUUUCCAGAUAACUUCUUCUUCAGCUCCUCGUGAAGCUUAUUCAAGUCGUGAUUAUCCACAUUCUGGUCACUAGCAAUUGAAAGUAGGAUUGAUUUUGUAAGCCUGAUAACAUCAAAAUCAUCAGAGACGCAAGUCCAUACCUUGAGAUCAAAAUGACCCUGCACUUGCUUAUCAUUGUAGACAAGCUGAGCGAGAGUGGUUUUGCCCAUCCCGCCCAUACCUAUAAUUGGAAUAACAGAGAAUUCACCAUCAUUUCUCAAAUCAUCCCUCAACAACAAUUCAACAAUUUCCUUCUUUUCGAUUUCCCUGCCAUAUACUUUGGCUUCCUUCACCAAAGAGGUUGUCUCUCGCCUUUUCCUGUCUUUUUUGGACCUUCCAACUGAACUUACGUUCAAACCGAGCGAGUCUUUCUGUGUUACAAUAUCUUGAAAUCCGUCGUUGAUCUCUUUGAUUUUGGACAUUAUGGUGUAAUCGAACUGAAUCGAUUGUGGAGUAAAAGUGGUGCAGCAAGUAGGAAUGAGCUUCCGAAACUUACUUGUUCUUGUACGACUGCUACUGGGUUGAUCAAGAGCAGCAGCUGGAUCUCGAUUUCCAAGCAGCAACUUCCUCCCGAAAGCCUCAGUUUGAAACUCAUCCAGCAAGUCUUCAACAUCAAAAGCCAAGUUCUGAAGCUCGGCAAGCCACAACUUCACAGACUGAUCAGUCUUCUUCUCCUCAGCAUCAGCAAGCACCGCCUUGAUCAUCACCAACAUAUUCUUCCACUUCUUUAGGUCGGCUUGGAUUUGCUCUUGGCGUGCAAACAGCCGAAUCCCCUCUGAAGCUAACUUAUUGACCAGCAAAUCAACGGACGCCGUAAGGAUUGCCUCUCCGAUGAAUGACAUUUUUUUCUUCUUUUUCUUUUUUUUGGUUUUGCAAAGAAAGAAAGGAGCAGAAUUAUGGGUUAUGGAAAGCAGAAUGAGAAAAUGGAUAAUUAAGCAGAAUGAGUUUGUGAUUGUGAAGGGUCUGGCCCAGCAAUCUUAGUAGAAAUCACGCGUUUAUACUUUAUUGACCAAUGACUAAUAAUUUGGCAAUUCACUCAUCACCACCACUUGGUAAAGCAAAAUAAAAAUGCUUAGUAAUUAAGUGUCAAGGGUCAAGCAAAAUACGACGCAAAAUGUGUCAAGGGUCUCCCCACUACUUGUUCCUUGCAGCUUAGAAAAGAAAAACAGAGCCCACCACCCAUUAAUAUUUAGCAAUUCACCAAUCAUCACCACUUGUUACGAAACCAUCUCAUCAACCAAGUUCGUAGGUCGAGCAGUUAAUCCAGUGUCUAUUUCCUAGAACCUUCAUCUCAUAAACCAAGUUCAAUCAAAACGUUCCUCUCUCGCUAUUUUUUUUUUUUCAAAACUCCUAAAACGUUUUCUUUUUAGAAAUAUUUUACUUUAUUCAUCUAAUAUGUUAUCUAACAAAUAGACACAAUUGAAAUCACUCUAAAGUGAAGAUGAAAGGGGAAAAAAAUAACCUUCCAACCACCAGUAAUUUUGCAAGCUUCACUUUAUUCCACCAAAGUGUAAAUAAAGCCAGCCCCCACCACCAUCAAUAAUUUUGCAAGCUUCACACGCUUGUUGUCUUCUCCUUGACGAACUGGACAUGAGUGGACCAAGAAUAAUCAAUGACAGGAUUUUCAAAAUAAUAAUAAGAGAAAAACCUACACAUUUUCGGCUUAGAGUAGAACCGUAAUUAAUGCUAAAAUCUACUCAGCUAACAUUUUCAAAAUAUUAUUCUUUAUGAUUUUCAAAACCGUGAUUAAGGUUCAUCUCAAAUGUUUGAAGAGAGUCUAACAGUUCUUCUACGCUAAGAAUAUCAAAAUUCUUACUUUUUCUUCAAACGUUGAAUAAUGAAAAAAAAAAUUGAAUAUGGAGGAAAAUAGAAUGCAUCCAUCUUUGCUAGAAGUCUUCUACUUAUAAAAGCAAGUUAGAAUAAACGAUUUUAAUCUCUCUUUUUAUUCCUGUAAGUGCACUACAUUUUUUUUUUUAAUCUCAAUGCGAAGUCGUAUCAUAAUGUUAUAUUCCUAUUGUAAAACAAAAUUUUAGAUAAAAUAAAUUCGACUCAUUUUUUAAAGGUAUAUAUUUAGUAGGUUACUAACAUAACUAACAAAUCGUGAUUAUUACACUAAAUGGAAUAAAAGACAGUACUAUCACCAAUAAUUUAGCAAGUUUCGCAUGCACGUGUUGCUAGAAACAUUAUAUGGAAUCAAACGACAGUGAUACAAAGAGAAAAGUGGAAAUCCUCUGAUUGUAUUUUUUUUUCUUUUUCAGAAGAAAUGGUGGGGUUGGUUUGUUUGCAAAGUUAUUAGCGUGGGUCUAUUUGUUUUUGUUUUAACUUUAUUAAUCAAUAAGCAAACAUGUAAUGAUUUGUAUAUAUCAUUAGCAUCACAUUAUUGGGAGGUAUUGCGCUUAGUAUUCAUAAUUUUUGUAAGAUGAAUUUGGAAGACUUAUUAAUUUUGAUGAAAAUGUAUCGGUGUUAAGAUAUUAUUUAAUUCAUUAAGUUAACUUGAGGAAAAGCAAAAUGAGAAAAUUGAGCAAUUCACCAAUUGGCAAUAUUUGUUUAAUUCAUCAAAUACUUGUAUCUCAUCUCACAAAUUGGCCAUAUUUGUUUGGUAUUUCAUCUCAACAGACGCAGUAAGGAUUGCCUCUCCGAUGGAUUGACAUUUUUUUUUUGUUUUGCAAAGAAAGAAACAGAAUUUUGAGUUUUGAAAAGCAAAAUGAGAAAAUUGAACAGUAAGUGUGGAGGGUCAAGCAAAAUGCGCGUAACAAGUCUUCCGCUUCUUGUUUAUUCCAGUAAAGCGAGAAUAAAAUCAGAGCCCACCACCCAUUAAUAAUUGAGCAAUUCACCAAUCACCAGUCGCCACCACUCGUUACCAUGAAUAUAAUAAAUUGCACCUCCAUAUUUGCAGGGUCCAGCAACAUUGACCCAGUGUCCGGGUAAAUGCUUAAUAACGAGGAAAAUGGAAUGUAUCCGCUACGAACCUUCGCUUUACAAGUCUUCAAACUCAUAAACCCAGUUAAAUCAAAACGUUUAUCUCUCUCUCUCUCUUUUUGCCAUAUAAUUACUUUAUUUAUUGAAUUAAUUUCCAUGCUAAAAGGAAGACUUAAAACUGCACUACAAUUUUUUAUAAUCACAAUGGUAAUUUCUACUAUCAUGUUAUUUUAAUAUCGUGUUAAAAUAAAUUAUUACAAAGUUUUUUUUAUGAACACUCUUUUUAUUUAUAAAUUUUUUAAUUUUUAAUAUUUUUCUUACUCUUUUAAUCUUAAUGUUUGUAUUUCGCUCUUCAAAUUUUUAUUAUUAUUUAAUUUUUAAAGAAAAAUAUGAAAAAAAAAUAAAAAAAAUAUUAUACUUAAAAAAUAGUGAAUAUUUUAUGGGUCUAAUACAAACCUGUAUUGUUUUUGACAAUGAAAGAGCACGCGAAAAAUCUCACUCAUAGAAAAUUUAGUGAAAGGCAUUUGAAUGUGUGGCCACAUUUUCCGAACGAAACGAUAAGGCUUUAGCCUUAUAAUUGCAAUUAGUUUGUCUUGUAACUAAAUUAUUGCCGACAAGCACCAUCAUGCUGACAAACCGUGCAUGCACGUCCUCAAUCACCCACGUCCUCUACUUGUGUGCAAUAUUUCCCAUUACUUCCCGUACUUUAUGCAUUAUUGUUUUGUAUGUCUUUUGUUGUUUACGGUGUAGUUAGGGAUGGUAGCGGGUUGGGUCUGGUACCGGUUUGACAUCACCAAACCCGCAUCUAAAAAAAAUUUAAUUACGUAAUUUAAAUUAUAAAUUUAUAACCGUUGCCUAAAAAAACCACAUAAAAUACUUAAUUCUACAUUUUAUCAAUGUAAAUGAGAAAUGAAAAUAUCAACAUUAAAACAAAUACAUAAAAUGUAUCAAUUUAACACCAAUUCUCAAAUUCAAUUACCAAAUAAAUAAGUACAGUGUAGCACUAAAAUAUAAUAUUUAAAUUAAAUUAAUCACAAAAAAUUAAUACAAUACAGUGUAGCACCAAACAUUGUACAUUAUUAUUAUAAUACAGUACUAAUACAACGCAACAUAAUACAAUACACCAACAUUAAAAUAAUACAAUCUAAUAUAAUACAAUACAGUGUGCGAAAUGCACCGACAUGGUAUUACUUUGUUUGUCUCGUUAUUUACAAUUAUUUAAUCUGUAGACCCACUCAUGCUCCUUCUAUGUAACAUAGAUGCAAUUUGAGGAAGAUUAUCAAUUUUUUCUGACUAAAAAUAAUAUAGACCACUUAUUUUUUAUUGUUUUUAUAAUGUUCAACAAUUCGCUUGAGAUCAAAAAAUUAAAUGAAAAGGAGUAAAUAGAUGAUUUACUUGAUGUUGUAUCUUAGAAAUAUAAAAUAUAUUUAUUUAUUAUUAAAAAUAUUUAAAAAUAAUAAAGAGUACAUAAAAAGUAUCUUAUCCUCAACAACAAGAUCAGACGACGUCAAUUCAGCAAAAUGACUUGAAUAACUUGAAAGUCCAGCAGCCGUCACCUCUUGGCGCACACAUGGCAACGUGCGUGGCUUUGGCAAGAGGUCUCCCAAAAGGACGAUUAAGAAAGAUUGCAGGACAAAUCAUGAAAAUAGUAGUACAGAUAUGCAAUGGCUAAAUUUCCUCGAUUAAGUCCAUCACAAUCAAGUCUUAGAAAUCACACCCCUGUAUUAAUUUCCAGAAAUAUGUUUGUUCCAUAUUUAUCGUGCACGUAUAUAUUGUAUGUAUUGGGAAUAGAAAGAGUGUAUGUAAAAAAUUCUUCAUUCAUCGAUUAAAACUUAAUUUAUGUACAAGGGUUAAGUGUAGUGUUUUUAAAUUUAAAAAGGACAAGUGUCAAUCCACUGAGGCUUGCCUCAAUGGCUAGAGCCACACUCCCUCACAAAGUGGUUCGAUCUCCCACAAAUACAUUAUAGAGGUUUAAUUUAAAUUUUUUUCCUCAAAUUUUGAGUGAAGACAGUUUUUCUUCCAGAAAUAGAAUUUUUCUGAGAGUUUGACGCCCCUCAAAUAUUUGAGAUGAUUAAAAUUUGAGCGGUGCUAUAUAAAAUAUAAUGUAAACUAAUCUAAAUAAUUGUAUAAUUAUAAAUAUAAUGAACAAUAGUCUCAUACAAAAAAAUGACAAGUGUAGUAAGCCCAUUUAAAUUAACUUAUAUUUGAGGGGAAAAUCUCUGUAUAUCAUAGUAUAUAUUAUAUAUCCAGUCGUGGGACCCAUACAUGGUUCCAUGUAAUUCGGCACAGUUGAACUGGAGACACUGAUUAGUUCGUUGUCUAUUUGCCAACUUAUGUACAACUAAGUAAUUUCAUGCACCAUUUGCGCCUUAUCUAUCCAGCCUGCUUGCAUUGCAUUAACUAAACAUACAAUGAAAUUAACCCUUGUAAUUUCGGCCUUUGCCAUAGUCGUUUUGUUUAUUAGGUUUAUGUUUAUCAACAUGAUAUGUUGUCAACCAUAAUCACAAUCAAGUUGUUAAUUAUUUUUUAAAUAAUGUGAAGGAACAAGAUUUUGGUCUUUGAGUGUGGAGUUAAAAAUAUCUCACCUCAACAUACGGUGUUGUGCUCUCAUCAUCUUAACAUUAUUUGUUAAAAAUUAUGUCAAAGAGGAAAGCAGAUUCAAACAUUACUUCAAUUUUCUUUAAGAGCAUAAAAAUAUCGUUAAUAGGCUACUGUUAUUUGUUAGUACGAUUUCACAAAAGGAAGCUAGAGGAAGAUGAAGCUCUCAAGUCAUGUAUGCAUCAAAGUAAGAAACAGAGCUAAUGAGAGAUGGACAAUUUUAAAUAUGUCAGCAUUUUGUCAGUUCUGGCCAUAUUUUGAAAGAUUAGAACCCUAAUUUUCUUUUGAAGCUCCUUUUAUGUCGAAAUCUAUUUUAAUUUCCAAAAUAUCUUUUUCCAUUUUUUUAGUUUCUUUCUGAUUAAAAAAAAAAUCAGUUUCUUAAACAACUCCAACUACAAAUAUUUUUUUACAAAUUUUUGAAUUAUUAAAUCAUAUGUGCGUGUAUAAAUUGAAUAGAAUUAAAAGUGGACUCAAAUAGAUAUUAUGUAAUUUUUUUAUAAUUAAAGAAAAGUUUAGAAUGCAAAAGUGUGUGUGAGAAAACAAAAAAAUAUAAAUCGCCUUUGAUAUAAUUAUAUGGUUGUAAAAAGUUAGAUGGAGAAAUAUAGUAUAUAAUUAAAUUUAUUUUGUUCCUUAAAACGGGUAGGUUUUAUAAGAAUUUUCCAGAGGAGCGCCAAUAUUUCAGCUUUUUUUUUCAAAUGAAGUGAUGUCCUGGAAUAAAAUCACUACUCUAUCAUUGCUAUUAGUUUGUCUUGUAUUUCAAUAAUUGCCGACAAGUAUUAAUUGUGAAUAUUAUUAUUAUUAUCGUCGUUAUUCUUAACAGCAAUGACUAGAAUUAUAAUAAUAACAAUAACGUUAAUACAAUAAUAUAACAACAUAAUAAUAUUUUAAUUGAGAGGAUAAAAAUAAAAUUAUGAAAUUUAGGUUGGAUAAAAAUGGUGAGUAUGAAGAAAUUAAAUUACUAUUUUUUAAGUUAAACAGUUCAUAAAUUUCACAUAUUUCAUUCUUAUUUCUCUUAUAUUUUAACAAAUAAACAUUACCAAUCGUUUUAAUAUUUUAAUUAAUAAACACGGCAUUAACUACGGAACUAAAAGAUCCCCAAAAAAAAAAAAAAUAGAGACGCGUGUAUGUAUUGCUUGUGACAAAUCUCACCCAUGGAAAACUUUGUGAAAGGCAUUUGAAUGUGUGGCCACAUUUAAUGAACGAAACGAUAACUUUAAAAGAAAGUAUGUAAUGUGUUAAUUAUUAGGCUUUAGCCUGAUGAUUGCAAUUAGUUUGUCUUUUAAUUAAAUUAUUGCCGACAAACACUAUCACGACCCACGUCCGCUACUUGUGUGAAUGUGUGUAUAAAUAUCCGCAGCAUAUUAUCAAACCUGAUGCGUGAUCAUCUUUAAGUUUUGGUUAGGGUUCAUCAGACGUUGGAAGAUAUCUUUCCUAAUUUGAAGAAGAUGGAAACUCCUUAUCCAGGUUCUUAGGCCAUGUUCAGUUGAAUGUCAUUUAUAAUUUUUAUUUUAACAUUAUGUAUUCAUGAAUACAAUUAUUGUUAUGAUUUUUUCAGGUAAGAAUGGAUGGUCUGAUAGUAACCCAAUAACUAUGUACAAUAUUAUUAAUGAUGAGAGUGUGAAUGACAAUUUGGAUUUUAUUCUCAUCCCUCAAUACGGGAAAAAUCUCGACUAUAGUGGUUAAAUGUUAUGUAACUCUUUCGUAUUAUAUUUAAUUAAAUAAAAUGAUGAGUUAUUAUUACUUAUCAAUCAUUUGAGUGUUUCUGCUUGAUUUAAUUCAACUUAUAAAAUCUCUUGAGAUAUAUAAGAGAUUUUCUUUAUUCACUUUCAUGUACCGCGUCUUCUUAUAAAAAGAAAUUAAUAAAAAAAAUAUCAUUAUGUGCAAUGUAUUGACUAAGUUACAAGAAAUUAAUAAAAAAAAUAUCAUUCUGUGCAAUGUAUUGACUAAGUUAGUGUAUUCACGUUAGCUUAAUUGUGCUCUCUCUUCUUGAUAUUUAAAAAAAAAAAAAAACUCCACGUAUUGUUGGUUAGCUAAUUCUUGCAGCUAGCAAGUGAUCCUUUUCUUUCCCCUACUGUCGUAGCAUCAAAUCCUUACAAUUACAUAUCAAGUGGUAUUCGAGCCGUCAAAUGAUCCAUGGAAACACGCAACAAAUCAAAUGCUGAAUUUUGCGAAGAGAUUCACGAAAUCCUUGCUAUACAUUGAAAUACAAGUAUGCAACCCAAGAGGGGGGGGGUGAAUUGGGAUUCUAAAAAAUUAUUCAAUUUAUUAAAGAAAAUCUUAAUGCAAUUAUAAAUCAAAUUCAAAGCAAUAACAAUUAAGAUGAUCACAAUUUAAAAAGAUAAGGGAAGAGGGAUUCGAACACCGAGAUUUUUACGUGGUUCGGCCAACCUCGCCUACGUCCACGCCUCCAAGCUUUCCGGGCUUGAGGAUUCCACUAAGCAAGCCUCCAAGGCUUCAAAUGCUUACACUUGACUUCCAAGGUGUCAAUGGACCUUUACAACAAGAGAUUAUCCCCAAUCUCUUAACCCAAGUGUAUCCCAACACUUACAAUUACUCAAAGUAAAAGAUUACAAAUUGUUUUUCUCUCACACAAUAUUUAAGAUUACAAAUCAAUGCCCAAUUUGUGAAUAGAUGAAGAGAGAAUGUGUUUUAAGCUCUAUGAAGAUUGUAUUCUCAAAUAUUUGCUCAAUGGUCGUGUUGUGUUCAAUCUUUGUUUGAAUUUGAAUGAGCUUAUUUAUAGAUGCAGCUGAAAACUAGCCGUUAUUGACUUUCUGCACACUGUCGGAUCACCGUUAGCUAGAUGUCGGAUCGCCGUUUGACUGGUCAAUAUGACCGUUGGGUUGAUUUUUCAAAUUGUCGGAUCGCCGUUAUCUAGAUGUCGGAUCGCCGUUUAGGUCCAGAGGCUACUGGUUGAUAUCGGCGAGCCGUUUAUCACACAUGUCGGUUCGCCGUUAAUGUCCAGAGACUACCCUUCAGUUCUGGUUGAUAUCGGCGAGCCGUUUUAUCAACAUAUCGGAUCGCCGUUUAGGUCCAGAGGCUACUGGUUGAUAUCGGCGAGCCGUUUAUCACAAAUGUCGGUGUGCCGUUUUCGUCCAGAGGCUAAUCUCCAUUUCUGCUUGAAAUCGGCGAGCCGUUUACUACAGAUGUCGGAUCGCCGUUUUCCACAAAAACUGCUGCAGUGAACUAUUUUGCAAGAUGACUGUUUUGUCUCCAAAUCUUUAUAAAAAUACUUUAUGAAACUUGUCAAAAUAGAUGAAAAUUAUGUUGAGCUUUUAAAACAAUUAAUCAAUCUUAAUCAUGUUUGUUAUCAUCAAAAUCAAUAAGGAAUAAUUUAUGUCAACAAUCUCCCCCUUUUUGAUGAUGACAAACUUUUCAAGAAAAUAUUUGUGCAAUUUUGCUCCCCCUAAAUAUGUGCUCCCCCUAAGUGAAAUUUUGAAAGACUUGUUAACUCCCUUAAAAAAAAUAUUCAACUGUUAAUCUCAAAAUUUUAAACACGAAAUUUAUGCCAGUAAACUCAUGCAUGCCAAUACUAUUUUGCCAAAACCAAUUUCGCAUUUUGCCAAUUGCCAAUUUCUCUCCCCCUUCAUCAUCAAAAAGAAAGAGACGCGAUGAAUGACUUAUGUUUGGAGAAAUUUGGGCAGAGUCUCCCCUGAAAUAUGAGCAUUUCCUCAACAACACACUAAGUUUAAAAAGAGAAACACUUCCAUAUAAAUAUACCACCAUAUCAACCAACCUCCAUACCAACAAAUUCACACUUCCAGAAAGAGCAAUAUAAUCAAUAUAAUACCAAAAACAACUUGAGCAUAAAUCAAGAGCACAUGUCCAACAUGAGAUAUCAGAAGCAUAAACACAAAAUAAAUAACAUCAUAUGCAUAAGGCAAAUAACAUGAAAUGAGAAAUGUCUGUGCGAAUAUCAUAGGGACAGAGAAAACUAAGAUGGAGGCUGUGAAGACGAACUGCCGGGGUCAUAUCCAAGGUGGCCGAGAAUGCGACGCUGUCCUGCAAUUAACUCCAUCUGCUGAUCAGAAAUUUGCUCCCGAAAGGUUGCAAAAUCAGAUCGAAGCUGCUACUGCUGCUGGGACAGGGCAUCUACUCGGUCGAGAAGCUGCUGGAAGCGAUCCUCAGGAACAGCUGAUGCCGCAGGAGGGACGGCAGUCUCGGUAGGCUCGUCAUCCUGAGAUGCAUCUGCUGCUGGUGAAACAGGAGCUGCUGGUGCUGCUGCUCGGCGAGGAACACGCGGUCUAGCCCCAAGACGGAAAUCAGGCAGCUCAUCCUCGGAGUAGACAUCAUUCAGCAUGCGAUCAUCCUCGGGUGCAAUCAGUGUGGCUUCGUUUUUGGAGGAUGUGGUCUUUUCCCAUUUCCCACGCUUCUUAAAGAAACCAAUGGCAGAAAUAAUGUCUCGACCGAGCUUACGAGUUUCGAGAAAAACAGGCUCGACGAUAGGAACAUGAAAGUGGUUCAGGAUCCUAGUGAUGAUGCUGCCAUAAGGAAGGGAUCGGUUGGAGACUUUAGGAGUGGACAGCAUAUGACACAUAAUAGUGUAGGAUAGGCUCACAUGGCGUCUACGGAUGAGAGAGUCUAAAAGACCAAUAUCAAGCCUAGUGACCUCAUCAGUGUGCCCCUGUCUAGGAGUGACCAUGUGUUGGAGAAUAAUGUGAAGUAUUCGAAUCUGAAAAGGGAGGAGUUGAGACCUAAAGGACAAAGAGCAGAUGUCAUCGGAAAGAUCCCGACGACGACAAAUGUUCCGUACACCAUCCACAUGACGAAAAUUACUGAACUCUAGUUCUUUCCUAGAGGUGUACAGAUCUAAUCCUCCAUAAGCGAUUCCUAGAAUACUACAUAAUUCGGGUUCAUCAAGCUCAAUACGAAUACCUCCUACAAAUGUAUGAAGCUCGUCACGACUAGAAGAGGAGAAAUCUAUGUUUGAAUAAAAGACUCGAACAAGAUUUUCAUAAAUAGGUUCAUCAACACUUAAAGCUUGAUUCCAAUGACUAAGCAUUUGAGUAAUUGAGUGACCACAAACAGAAAUAUCCGAGAACUCCGAAAUGUUAAGAGAAAAAGAGGGAGUUACGGGUUUACCCAUAAACUUCUCACGGAAUCGCUGAGCAGAGGUAGCAUCGGGAAAAUGAAGACUUUCGAAGUCUUGAGGAGGAGACCUGGGUGGACUGGAACGGCGUGAAGCAGUGUGCUUGGUUCGAACACGCCUUGGAGGUCGUUCCGCCAUGGAUGAGAAAAAUUGUGAAAAUGAAGUUUUAGAGAUGAGAUAGUGAUUUGUGGGUGAAAAUGUGGUUGGAAAGACGAAGAAAUUUGGGUCAAAGUGAACGAAUGAGAGUCGGCUGGUUCUAGGGUUUCAAGAUGAGAUUUUUCAAAAUUUGAAGAAAAAAAAAAAAGGAAUUUGAAUCGGUUAAAAGGUGUUAGAGAUGAUAGAAAUGGUUUGUAAUGCUUCAAUUUGGUGAAAAAAAUGACAAGAAAAGUGAUGGAUUUGAGAGGAGAGAACUGGUGCAGUCGCGGGUUGAAGUGAGAGAGAGAGAGAAAGAGAAGCCGAAAUGAGGAGGAAGACGAAGGACUGUUCAAUUAACGCGUGAUAACGGCGAGCCGUUAUAAAGAAAACGGCGAGCCGACAGAGUCCAGAGAGUCCUCAAAACAAAUUCAUAAAAACGGCGAGCCGCUUAUAUCAAUAACGGUGAGCCGAUAGGGUCCAGAGAGUCCACACAAGAAAAAUGUAACAGGACGGCGAGCCGAUAGACAGAUAUCGGCGAACCGAUAGCUUCCAGAAAGCGUUCCAUUGUUUCUGCCCAAAACGGUUAGCCGUUUAUUUAAAUAACGGCGAUCCGUUUUCUACAACCUAUGAUUUCGCACAUGUAUUUUGAUAUUUGGCUACUUAUUAAUACAUUUCAAGAUCAUUUUAUUGAUCCAAAAUGAUUUGAGUGCCAUUUCAAUGCAUAAUUCAUGAAUAUAUAUAUAUGUAUUGCAAUAAUUAAUUCAUACAUUUUCAAAUAUACAUACACAUUACAUGCAUAUUACGAUUGAGCAUUCCAUAGAAAUUAAAGCAUCAAGUCAUAGAUCAAUCAAUAAUAAUAGACUCAAUAGCAUGAAUGAAGAUGUUAAUGUGAAAAUUUCAUCAUCCCAAGUUCAUGCCGAAUUUUGGAAAAUUGUUCUUCGCAAAGAGGUUUUGUAAAAAUAUCGGCAAGUUGUUUUUCCGUAGAAAUAAACUCUAGUGCAAUGUCUCUCUUUUGAACAUGAUCUCUCAAGAAAUGAUGUCUUAUUUCUAUAUGCUUGGUUCGAGAGUGUUGAAUGGGAUUCUUUGAAAGAUUAAUAGCACUAGUAUUAUCACACUUAAUAGGAAUUUGUUCAAGAUUAAUGCCAUAAUCUCUAAGUGUUUGUUUCAUCCAAAGAGCUUGUGCACAACAACUUCCGGCAACUAUAUAUUCAGCCUCGGUAGUUGAAAGUGCGACAGAAUUUUGUUUCUUGCUAAACUAUGAAACAAGAGAGUGUCCUAGAAUAUAGCAAGUUCCACUAGUGCUCUUCCUAUCCACUUUAUAACCAGCAAAAUCCGCAUCCGAAAAACAUGUUAAAUCUAUAUGAGUUCCCCUAGGAUACCAAAGGCCAAUAUCUAUGGUUCCACUCAAAUAACGGAAAAUUCUUUUAACAGCGAGCAAAUGAGAUUCCUUGGGACAUGACUGAAAUCUUGCACACAAACAUACACUAAACAUGAUAUCGGGUCUACUUGCAGUCAAAUAAAGUAGGGAUCCGAUCAUACCUCGAUACAUUUUGAUGUCCACUUCUUUACCUUUUUCAUCUUUGUCCAGCUUGGUUGUUGUGCUCAUUGGUGUAUUUUUGGUCUUUGAGUCAUUAAUGCCGAAUCGUUUGAGUAGAUCUUUUACGUACUUGGCUUGAUUUAUGAAGAUUCCUUCCUCGUUUUGUUUGAUUUGAAGUCCAAGGAAGUACUUCAACUCUCCCAUCAUACUCAUCUCAAAUUCUUUGCUCAUACACGAUGAAAAUUCUUUACACAACAACUCAUUAGUAGAACCAAAAAUAAUAUCAUCAACAUAAAUUUGAACAAUAAGUAUGUCUUGGUUCUUAUGCUUAACAAAUAGAGUAGUAUCCGCUUUACCCAUUGAAAAGUCAUUUUCCAACAGAAAAUUCUUAAGUCUAUCAUACCAUGCUCUAGGUGCUUGUUUUAAACCAUACAAAGCUUUAAGCAACUUAUAAACAUGAUUUGGAAAUUUUUCAUUUUCAAAACCAGGGGGUUGUUUUACAUACACUUCUUCCAUAAUAUGCCCAUUUAGGAAAGCACUUUUCACAUCCAUUUGAAAUAAAAUAAAAUCUUUAUGACAUGCAUAUGCUAAUAACAUCCUAAUGGAUUCUAACCUUGCUACAGGAGCAAAGGUUUCAUCAAAAUCAAUUCCUUCUUCUUGGUUGUAGCCUUGAGCCACUAAUCUAGCUUUAUUUCUUACAAUCACACCGGAUUCAUCCAUCUUAUUCCUAAACACCCAUUUAGUACCUAUUACAGAUUGAUAUUCAGGUUUAGGAACUAAUUCCCACACAUUGUUUCUUUCAAAUUGAUUUCACUCCUCUUGCAUUGCCAUAAUCCAAGAUUCAUCAUUUUCUGCAUCCUCAAAGGAUUUUGGUUCAAUUUGAGAGAUGAAUGCAUUAUGCUCACAAGUAUUUCUAAGUGAUGAUCUAGUUGUAAUACCUCGUGAGGGAUCUCCUAAAAUUACAUCUUUAGGGUGAGAAGAGACAUACCUCCACUCCUUGGGGAGUGUUUGAGAAGUACCUUUAUUUUGCUCUGCAUUUAGUUCUUCAUGAUGUUCCUCUUGAAUUUCAUGUGGUGCAUCCUCUUGUUUGUCAUUUGAUGCUUCUUCUUCUUGUUCUUCUUCUCCUGCAUCAUCAUCAACAACGACUUUCUCCGUAGAGGAGGGGUUAGACUCAUCAAAUGUCACAUGCAUAGAUUCUUCCACAACUAAGGUUCUUUUGUUAUAGACUCUAUAAGCUUUACUAGAAUUUGAAUAACCAAGAAAAAUACCAACAUCGGAUUUUGGAUCAAAUUUACCAAGAUUGUCUUUUGUGUUCAAAACAAAACAUUUGCAUCCAAAAACUUUAAAAUAUCCAAUGUUGGGUUUUCUAUCUUUCCAAAGCUCAUAAGGAGUUUUGUUAAGAUUAGGUCUAAUCAACACCCGAUUUAAAACAUAACAAGCGGUGUUGACGGCUUCGGCCCAAAAAUAUUUUGGUAAUGCAUUUUCAUUUAAUAUGGUCCUAGCCAUUUCUUGAAUAGACCUAUUCUUUCUCUCAACAACUCCAUUUUGUUGUGGAGUUCUAGGUGAUGAAAAUUGAUGCUCAAUGCCUAGAUUAUUGCAAAAACUCUCAAAUGCAUGAUUUUCAAAUUCUCCUCCAUGAUCACUCCUAAUGCAUACAAUACCAUGCCCUUUUUCAUUUUGUAAUUUCUUACAAAGCACUUUAAAAGCAUCAAGAGCAUCAUCCUUAUUGGCUAAGAAUAAUACCCAUGUAUAUAUAGAAUAAUCAUCCACUAUCACAAAUGCAUAAUAUUUGCCAUUUAGACUUGCAUAUCUAGAUGGCCCAAAAAGAUCUAUGUGAAGAAGUUCAAGUGGUUUUGAAGUAGAAAUAUGGUUUUUAUUCUUGAAAGAAGUUUUAAUUUGUUUUCCAAAUUGACAAGCUUCACAAAUCUUAUCCUUUUGAAAACCAAUUUUCGGAAGACCUUUAACUAAAUUAUCUUUCAAAAUUUUUGAAAUCAAAUCCAUACUUGCAUGUCCUAACCUUCUAUGCCAUAACCAACAAUCAUCAUGCAAUGCCGAAAAACAUUUAUCAAGAGUAGAUGCACAUUCUAUGUCAAUGAUAUAAACAUUACCACAUCUAUUUCCAACAAAUAAGGUUUUGCCAUCACAUGAGUUCUCAAUAACACAACUAAAUUUAUCAAAGAUAACUUUAUAACCUUUGUCACAUAAUUGACUAAUGCUAAUUAAGUUGUGUUUCAAGUUUUCAACCAAACAUACAUUCUCAAUUAGAGUUGAAGAAACUUUACCAACAUUUCCAAUUCCAAGGAUUUUUCCUUUUGAGUUGUCUCCAAAGGAUACGUCUCCACCAUUUUCAAUUUUGGUAAAGCUUGAGAACCAUGCAUAGUUUCCGGUCAUGUGCCUUGAACAACCGCUGUCCAAGUACCAUUUAUUCUUCUUCUUCUUCAAGCCCUACAAGAAAAAGUCUCAAGUUUUAGGUACCCAAAGCUUUUUGGGUCCUUGAGAGUUAGCAACUGUUCCUUUUGGAACCCAAAUGCACUUGACACCAUAAUAUGCAUUCCUUUUCACGGGACAUCUAAAUUUCAUGUGACCAUUUUGAUUACAAUAAUGACAUACAAUCUUAUGAUCAUUUGUGGAGGUAGCUUUAACAAAAUAAUUCUUAUAAUACUUUUGCUUCAAGUUUGGCUUAUAUCCAAGUCCUCCUUUAUCAAAAACACAUUUUUGUGAGUUAAGCAUAUUAUCCAACAUCUUUUGCCCAUUUGUAAAUUUCAAAACAAUUUCAUUUAAUUCAUUAUUCUUUUUCUUGAGCAAUUCGUUCUCAUUUUUCAACUCAUCUAUGUGUGAUUUCAAAUGCUCAUGUAAGAUGCUAGGUUUUUCAUUUGAUAAUGCAAUUUCAUCAUGCAAUGUUUUGUUUCCUACUUCUAGGCAUACAAUUCUUGCAUUUAGAGAUUCAUUUUCAUUUUUAAGCUUUGCCAUUUCCUUUUUAAGACAUACAUUCUUUUUACCAAUUUUCAUCAACUCAUUAUGCAAAUCUUGAAAAGCAUCAUAUAAUUCAUCAUAGGUAGGAUCACUUACCUCAUUGAGAUCAUCAUCCCCUCCUAUAGCCAUGAGUGCUAGGUUUGAUACUUCUUGCGAUCCUUCUUCAUCAUUUGUUCUUCCUCACUAUCAUCCCAAGUUGCAACCAUUGCUUUCUUCUUGAGUUUGUUGAUGAGUGGGCACUCCGAUCUUAUAUGUCCAGGCUUCUUGCAUUCAUAGCAAGUGAUUGCCUCCUUCUUCUCCCUAUAGUUCUUGAAGUUUCUGAAAUUUCUUCGCUCUCCGGUUUUCUUGAAGAAUUUUUUGAACCUCCUUGCUAGCAUGGCUAGUUCUUCAUCAUCCGGUUCACUCUCCUCAUCACUCUCAUAUUUUGAAGCUUUGAGAGCAAUGCUUUUCUUCUUCUCCUCAUGUCCUUUUUCUGCAGCUAAAUCCUCUUCAUACGAAAUAAGAGAACCAAUUAAAUCAUCAAGAGGUAAAGUAUUUAAAUCUUUGGCCUCUUCAAUAGCGGUUCUUUUAGGUCUCCAUUCUUUUGGAAGUGACCUAAUGAUUUUCUUAACUUUCUCACUAUUUGAGAAGGUUUUCCCUAAGGCACCUAGGGUGUUCACUAUGUCCGUGAAUCUAGUGUACAUAGAAUACACAUUUUCAUUUUGUUCCAUUUGGAACAACUCAUAUUGGCGAGUGUAUCUACUGAUUUUAGACUCUUUCACUUGAUUUGUCCCUUCAUAGACAACUUCAAGUUUGUGCCAUAUCUCUUGUGCACUUUCACAACUAGAUACUCUAUGGAAUUCUUUCUUAUCAAGGGCACAAAACAAAGCAUUCAUAGCCUUGGAGUUUAGAGACAUCUUUCUCUUUUCUAACUCACUCCAUUGACUCGAUGGUUUAGGAAUAUCAUCUCCUAUUUCAUCUUUGAACAUAGGCAUGAAUGGACCAUCACAAACAACUUCCCAAAUUUCAUAAUCUAAGGCUUGCAAAUAGAUUCUCAUUCUAGUUUUCCAAUAAGCAUAAUCAUUACCAUAAAAAAAUGGUGGUCUAGUUGUGGAUUGCCCUUCUCUAAAGGUUGAGUCAUUUAGGGUUGCCAUGGAUCUUUUACUCUAGACGAUUAAGUCUUAACAAGAGAACAAGGCUCUGAUACCAAUUGAAAUACAAGUAUGCAACCCAAGAGGGGGGGGGGUGAAUUGGGAUUCUAAAAAAUUAUUCAAUUUAUUAAAGAAAAUCUUAAUGCAAUUAUAAAUCAAAUUCAAAGCAAUAACAAUUAAGAUGAUCACAAUUUAAAAAGAUAAGGGAAGAGGGAUUCGAACACCGAGAUUUUUACGUGGUUCGGCCAACCUCGCCUACGUCCACGCCUCCAAGCUUUCCGGGCUUGAGGAUUCCACUAAGCAAGCCUCCAAGGCUUCAAAUGCUUACACUUGACUUCCAAGGUGUCAAUGGACCUUUACAACAAGAGAUUAUCCCCAAUCUCUUAACCCAAGUGUAUCCCAACACUUACAAUUACUCAAAGUAAAAGAUUACAAAUUGUUUUUCUCUCACACAAUAUUUAAGAUUACAAAUCAAUGCCCAAUUUGUGAAUAGAUGAAGAGAGAAUGUGUUUUAAGCUCUAUGAAGAUUGUAUUCUCAAAUAUUUGCUCAAUGGUCGUGUUGUGUUCAAUCUUUGUUUGAAUUUGAAUGAGCUUAUUUAUAGAUGCAGCUGAAAACUAGCCGUUAUUGACUUUCUGCACACUGUCGGAUCACUGUUAGCUAGCUGUCGGAUCGCCGUUUGACUGGUCAAUAUGACCGUUGGGCUGAUUUUUCAAAUUGUCGGAUCGCCGUUAUCUAGAUGUCGGAUCGCCGUUUAGGUCCAGAGGCUACUGGUUGAUAUCGGCGAGCCGUUUAUCACACAUGUCGGUUCGCCGUUAAUGUCCAGAGACUACCCUUCAGUUCUGGUUGAUAUCGGCGAGCCGUUUUAUCAACAUAUCGGAUCGCCGUUUAGGUCCAGAGGCUACUGGUUGAUAUCGGCGAGCCGUUUAUCACAAAUGUCGGUGUGCCGUUUUCGUCCAGAGGCUAAUCUCCAUUUCUGCUUGAAAUCGGCGAGCCGUUUACUACAGAUGUCGGAUCGCCGUUUUCCACAAAAACUGCUGCAGUGAACUAUUUUGCAAGAUGACUGUUUUGUCUCCAAAUCUUUAUAAAAAUACUUUAUGAAACUUGUCAAAAUAGAUGAAAAUUAUGUUGAGCUUUUAAAACAAUUAAUCAAUCUUAAUCAUGUUUGUUAUCAUCAAAAUCAAUAAGGAAUAAUUUAUGUCAACAAUUAGUGGACUAAAAAACGCGCAUACGGUACAUGCAACACAUGCGAUUAUUUUACUAGACCUGCGUUCACCAAAAACAGAUCAGAGACGCCGGUGGUUUUGCCGGCGUAAACCCUCCGAUGCCUAAGUUAGCACAAGGUGUUUACGGGAAAACAGUACAAUUUGGAUUCAAGAAGUUUGUUCGAAAUUUGUAAGAAAAUGGCCUGGUUGCAAUUUGGCAGCGUUUUCCCCUCUUUUCCUUUUCCCUUUCUUCAUCCAUUUCUUCUUCUUUUAUAGCCAUUGUCCCACGUUUUCGUUUACCUUUCAUCCCUCCUUUUUUGGGUAGUGGCGGCCCCUCAUGGGACUCUAACUGCUACAUUAUGGGCAAACGCAAGGCCCCGCGUUUCCCGUAACGGUUCUGGGAAAAGCGCAACUACCGUGAUUCUGUGGGAUCGUGUUCCCGCUUUUUUGGGAGAUGGGUGUUGGCUCGGCAUAUAACCCUGGUCGGUGUAUUUCUCCGGUUGGCACUCGUCUCUGGUCGGCUCGUGUUUGUCCCCGCAUUCUGUUCGUACCACUUGGCUGAGGUGAUUUUAUGAUUAAAAUAAAAAAUACAAACAUUUAAAUAAGAAUGUCCGACACUUGCACAACUAUUUACCAAAUUUUUUCUCUAUAAAAAUCGACCUGCAACUUUCAAUAGGUUUAAAUUUAUAAUAUUAAACUUGAUUGCAGCUCGCAAAAAUUAUCUGUUGCGGCCAAGACUUUGGAUUUGCGAUGAUUUUGCCACCCUAAGUGUAGUUAGUAUUGUAUAUCAUGUGGCUCUUAGAAAAAGCCUAGAAGUUGUUUGAAUAACGGGGGAGACACAUAUCUCCCAAAGAUUUUCUCUUUUUCAAAUUAUUAUUUUUUCUCUAUUAUUGUAACUUCGAAUCCUUAUAAAUUACAGAUUGGAGACAUGAACACAAUGUUUUGACAUAGUGGACUUUUGGCUUGUCCAGAGAAAUUUAGGAUAGAUUUUUACGCACUAAGGCUCUAUUUACUAUUGAGGUUUUAGAACUUUUAAGCCACACUAGAAAUUUGUAUUGUUUUGAUAGAGUUGUAGUCUUUGAUAUGUGAUUGGUAUUAAUCAAGUGUUAUGUUUACAAUAGUUAAAGGCAUAUUGAAUCAAAAUCCACUUCUAAGGGCUUGAUUGAGUGAUUGUAAAGUAGGUUUUUAGUUUGCUAGCCACUCAAGUUCAAAUAUUGGAACCACAGAGCUUUAUAGCCAAGUGAGAGAACUUGUGCCCUAAAAAUUGAGGGGUGCAUAUCGAGUUUUACCACCAAUAAAUGUUGGUGUUAAAACUUUAAUUUCUCUCCUAUCGAUGGAUAAGGGUGAUUAGGAGUUUACAUUCCCUCCUAUUAAUAGACAGGGGUUAUUAGGAAUAUUAAAAAAAAGUUCAAAUAUUGAAAAUAUAGGUAUGGGUUAUAAAAUUCAUAAUAUAAAGACACAAAAUCAAGAUAAAGAUUUAAAAAUUUAGAACCAUGAGAGCGUGACUUGUAAGUUUCAAAGAAGCAUGUGCAAAUAUAUGCAUUAUCGAUGCCUAAUUAAGGGUGGACAUUAAGAUCGGGUUAACCCGAACCGAACCGAACUUAAAAUGUAUUUUGGAUUCAAUUUGGUUAUGGUUGAAGCUUUCAACUGAGUUCAAAACUUAAAAAUGAUUGAGUUGUAUUUCUGUUCGAAUUUAACCCCAAAAGACAACUAACCCUAACUAAAAUGUUCGACCGCGGCCUCCUCGUUUUCUUUUCUUCUUCCUCCUCUCGCUCACCCCUAAUGCCCUUCAUGGAAAUCCAACAGCUCCAAACGCGUUUCGGCCGCUCGCACGUGUGAGAAAUUUUCGUUCUCAUAGGAUUAUUCGUUUCCUUCGCCUGCAUGCCAGCAGAAUAUUCAGGCCGAGGAUUUUUCCGGGCCUAGCCCAACUAUAAGCUCUCCCAAAACCCAAUCAUAAGUUCAUAACCGUUUAGCGUUUGCUAUUAUUAUAAUUUUUUUAACCAAUUUUCACAUUCAUCAACAUAGGCUGACAGAUUUUGUAGAAAAUAAAAUUAAAUAAAAAUACGAGCUCACGAAAUUCCUUUUCCGAUGUGGGAAUCUAUCUACACCUUUCACGUGCUUUUUUUUUGGUGUGUGUUGGGGGGGAGGGGGGGGGGGGGUGUAAUUCACUUGCUUUUGUUUGCAUUGCCUUAAUGGAUAAAAGUUUGUAGAACAUCGUCUGUUUGGUUAAAGCCGAGCAUGAGUGAAGAAAAAUUAGAAAUAAAUAAUUUCCCAUAAAUUUGCAACAAGUAUUAAUAAAGUGCAUGAAAAAAGACACCAAGAUAUGCCUUUUUUUAAAUGAAAAUAAAUGUGUUAAUUAGUCUAUUUAAAUGGUAUGAUAUUUUGAAAUGAUAGAAGUGAUCUAAAGUUUAAAUCUUUACUCACACUUAAUUUACGGUUGGCGAUUAAUUGACGUAAUAUAUAAUAACGAAUUCGAAAGACAAUUAAAAAUUAAAAGAGAAUAAAAAAGUGCUUUCUUUUUUAUGAUGGUAAUUUGUUUAGAUGAUGAAAACUCUUAGAGUUGUAUUAUCAAUACAUAGUUUCAAGGGUUGGCAAUGUGAAUAAUAUUUAAUUUCCUUUAUAUAGUUAUAUCUUAACUAUCAUUUAAACAGAAGUAAGUUGUAAAAAAAAUGAACCAUUGAGAUUUGAGAGAAUAAAAAACUAAAAAAAAAAAGUUAAAAAAUUAGAUUUCAAUAAAUUUACUUGAGAACUACUUUACUGAUUAAUGAAGAGAAAAUACAAAGAAUAAUGAUGUAUCUCAAUUAAUCAGAUAAAUUUUGUAUUUUUUGUUUAUUCCAGAAUCACGAAACUUCAUUUAAACUUGUUAUUUCAUUGAUAAUAUAUUAAUAUUAAACAAUUAAUGUAGGAGACAUUUUUUUCCAAUUAUGCCCAUAUAUUAAUUAAAGACCACCAAAAAGUUCAGGGAUACUAUAGUAAUUUAAGUCAAUAAUUUCUGUGCUUGAAAUCAGCCAAUCAAACUCAUUUUAGAAUAAACUGAGAAAUCAAAAUCACAUUCUCCGAUUCUACGAUUUCAAUUCAUCUUAUUUCUUCAACUGAAAAAUUGGUUGUAUUUCGUUUUAUUUUUUUUUUAUUUUUAUAUAAAGAUAAAUAUAAAAUAUAAAUGACGAGGAUACUGUAAAAAUAAAAUCAAAAGAAGAGCACAAAUUUUAUUGAAAAUGACUCUUUUCAUCAUUUUGCCGGAGUGAAUGUAUCUACAUAUAAACUAAAGAAGCACAUUUGUUUGUAUUAGUUUUUUUAUUAUAUUUUUAAUAAUAAGUCAUUUGUCACUGAACUUAUAUCAAUUUUUACGAAAAUAAUAGGUGUUAGUUAGUUUAUUCAAAUGGCUAAACCUCUUGGGAUAGAGCUUGUAAUUUAGUGGCUCAUGAAUUGUCUAAAAUAAUAUAGUAAUUUAAACUAACAGUUUCUGUGCUUCAAAUCAUCAAAUCAAACUCACACCUCAGAAAAGCAGAGAAAUCAAACUCAUGGUUUCCGACUCUACGCUUUAAAUUCAGCUUCAUUUCUUCAACUGAAGAAUCGGUCGUCUCUCAUUUUUUAUUUAUUAUAUAAAGAUAAAUAUAUAAAUUUAAAUGGCGAGAAGAGCGGACGAGGAAUACGAUUACUUGUUCAAAGUGGUAUUAAUCGGCGAUUCGGGAGUCGGCAAAUCGAACUUACUCUCCCGAUUUACUCGUAACGAGUUCUGUUUGGAGUCCAAAUCCACUAUUGGCGUCGAAUUCGCCACCCGCACUCUUCAAGUAACUAACUUUUCCUCUUUCACUUCUCUUCAUUUUUAUUAGUUAAUUAAGAUCCAGUUAAUGUAAUUAAUUUUAUUUAAUCUUUUAAAUAAAGUUCUAGAUUAGGCUAACUUAGAUUCAUGUGAAGUUGAAGUGAUUUACUUUCGAUCUCUUUUUGGUCCUAUGUUUAUUUGUACUUACUAUUACUUUUUUUUGGGUUUAAAUUUUCGUUUUUGAAGUGUUUACUGAAUAAAUUUCUGAGCUUUAUUUGUGUAUGCUGAUUGAUUUGUGAUUUUAAUUUUGUGACUUUUUUUUUGGAAUUUAAAUUUGAAUGCUUUUUAAGUUGAAUCUGAAUGUGUUGGGCUGCGAUUUAAUUAAGUCAUCUGUGAGUGCCAAAUUGUGAUAGCUAUAUAUUGGGGUGAAAAUUUGGGAUUUAAAGUUAUGUAUUUAAGAUGCAGUUAAUUCGCAAGUGAAAAUUAUGGGCCGGCAGGUUUUGUCAUUGGAAGACUGUUCUCCACAUGUUGAAGUUAGUGAUGCAAGUUGAAACCAAUCUGUUUAAGCUUGGGGUUUCAUGUCUUGAAUCAAGGCUGUGACUUGGGGUGGGUUGAAAGUAUUAUAGCUUUAGCUAUUCCUGAAGUAAUCUGUUUAGACUCACCGUGAUGAGACCGAGUGCUGUACAGCAAAAUGAAAGGAAGUUGGAAAAUAUUUACUUAGCAUUUCGUGUUACUAAUGUUGAACUAAUAAAACCUAGCCCCUAUUCUAGUGAAUUUAUGUUAAAAAGCUAUGCACGCAUUAAGUUAGUGCGAGAGUCUGCUGAAGCAUAUGUCAGCUGUGUGUUUGGCGCUGAGUAUUCUUCAUUCCACAUUUUGGGUUUUGGUUGACCUCCAGCAUGGCUCAACCCACUUGAGUUAAAAGCCCUAGAGUUACAUUCUACCCAUGAUAUUUGAGUUUAUCAGGUCACCUUAUUUUAAUACUUCUCUGGAAAACAAAUAUAUAUGUUAAAUCAGGUAGGAAAAAUAAAAAGUUAAUUAUUGAGUUGUAAUGGUGCAACUAAGGUUUUGAAACAUUAAGAUCUUUAGCCAUUAUGUUACUAUCCCGUAGUUAUUUAAGUUACAAGAGAUAGUAAAAACUAACAUCAUAUUUUAAUUACUUACACUAAUCCUACAAGUGCUGAUGGUCUAAAGUUGCUGCUGCUUGCACCGAAUCAGUGGUCAUGGGCCAGCCAAGGUUAGGUGAGCCAACUCAUUAGCUUGUGAAACUUAAAGAAGUCUUAGGUUUGGAAAAGAUGGGGCACAGGUUACAAAAAUUUUUUGAGUUUUGGAUUGAAGGAACAAAAUUGUUGAUGUCUAGCUCACAAUAUUUGAAGUCACUCUGUGCUUCAUCGUGUAAAAUGGAUUGAAUUGCUGUAAGAUCAGGUCAAAUUAAAAUGUUUAAACUCAUUUUUAAGAAACGAAUUCUCAAUUGGACCAGCCUUUCACAGAAGCUGAUAUCGCAGAAGCUUUGAGUCAGAUGCAUCCAACCAAAGCCCCUGGCCCAGAUGGUCUCCCAGCAGUAUUUUUCCAAAAUCUUUAGAAUUCAGUAAGCGAAGGAGUUAUAGCCACUUGUCUGCAUAUCCUCAAUGAUGGAGGUAAUAUUGCUCCUUUGAAUCAUACAUACAUUGCUUUAAUCCCCAAGAUAGCAAAACCUAGGACUCUGAUGGAGUAUAGACCAAUCAGCAUAUGUAAUGUAAUUUAUAGGAUCAUUGCAAAGACUAUAGCGAAUAGGCUGAAGCUAAUCUUAGAUCAUGUUAUUUUGCCAACUCAGAGUGCUUUUAUGCCAAAUAGGCUCAUAACUGAUAAUAUAAUUAUUGGGCAUGAGUGUCUUCAUAAGUGGACAAAGCUAAGUUCCAGAGGUGAGAUAGGAAAUUCUCCCGCACGACACAGCAGAAACAAACUUUCCCUUUCAUUUUCUUUUCUCUUUCUCGCUCUCCAAACAGAGCAAAAGGACCGUCGCAAGAUUCUUCACUUCCAUCCAAAAUCAUGAGCAACGAAUAGUGAGCCUCCCUGUUUCCUUCCUUUUUUUGAUAUUAACAUUGUUAACAUAUACUCAUUUUAUUUUGACAAUACUUCAACUUUUUUUAUUUUUUUGCCUUUUCAUUUUUUUUGUUGAAGCAAUUAUCUGUUCAAGCUGUUGCUAAUCGGAGACUCGUCCGUCGGAAAGUCCUGCCUGCUGCCCCGAUUUGCUGUCUGUUGACUUUUCCUUUCCCUUCUUAUUUUCUUUUUUUAUAUUAAUUACUUUCUAUUUUAGCUUUUUGUUCUCUGAAUUUGUGUUAUUAAAAUGAUAAUUUAGAUGAUAAAUAAUUGUUAUUCUUGUAAAUUUCGGUUUUCAUUACAUUAAUUGUUAGUUUUUAGGUUUAUUAAUGUAAUUUUUUUUUUCAAUUUUUCAGGAUGAUUCUUAUGUCACAGCUACAUCAGUACCAUUGGAGUUGAUUUUGUGAGCCUCUCUUCUAUAUAUAUGUAUAUAUGUGUAUAAGUUAUAAUAUGAGUCUAUGUACGUGUAUGUAUGUAUGUGUAUGUAUAUGUGGAAAGAAAUUUGGCAGACUUCAGCAUUUUACUCUCUUUUUUUUUUUUUUUGGCAGAAAAUAAGAACUGUGGAGCUGGAUGGGAAGACGAUCAAACUGCAGAUUGUGAGUCAAAAUUUCCUUUUAUCUUGUAUUGAGAGAAAUUCGAUUUGUCUUAUUUAGUGAAGGUUAUGCUCAAGAACCUUGUCUUAUUUUCUUUGUUUGAAGAGUGAUAUGUUGAAAUGAGUGUAUUUGUCUUAUAAACAUCAUUUAGGUAAUGUCUUAUGUUUGAUUGUUUUUCAUCUGUUUAGUGGGACACUGCUGGACAGGAGCGAUUCAGGACUAUAACUAGCAGUUAUUACCAAGGAGCCCAUGGAAUCAUAGUAAGGAGCCUUCCCGGUUCUUGGUUUAAAUCAGAAAGUUUGUGAUUUACAUGUGACAUCUUAACAGCAUUGUAUGUGUUUAUUAACUUAUUUUUCAUCUUUCAUUAAGCAGUACAUUUUCCAAUAAAUCUGUAUACAAGAUGAUGUAGUCCAAGAAUGGGAGCCAUAAUAUGAUGCAAAUUGUCUAAUAAAUUCUUAUGACAUAUGAUGUUGUCGGAAGUAAAAGUCUUGCAAUGCUGUAUUCUCUUUUAAGAAAGAAUAAGUGGUAAUUUUGUUUUUCCAAUUUUUUAAUUGAGCAACUGUAUGAGAUUUUAAUUAAAUGUGUUGGGAUUUCAACAGAUUGUCUAUGAUGUAACUGGGAUGGAGAGCUUCAAUAAUGUCAAGCAGUGGUUGAAUGAGAUUGACAGAUACGCAAAUGACAGUGUAUGCAAGCUUCUAGUUGGGAACAAAUGCGAUUUAGUUGUGAACAAGGUUGUGGACACACAGACAGCCAAGGUAUAUUCAUGACUUUUGUCGCCUGAACUUUGAAUAUAAUUUUAAACUCUUCUCAAGUGCAUUUGCUUGGUAAGUUUCUGCAUACCCAGGACACUCAAACUUUAGACAGUCUGUAUCUCGAGUUGGAAUCUUUUCUGUCAAUACGACUUGUUAAAAUAAGGGUUAUUAUCGUUUGAAUCAUUCAAGAAUUGCAAUAAAUCUAAAGUCCAUAAAAAAUAUGAUUCCAUCAUUUUACUAUUAUAUCUAGACAAAACCCAUUAUUUUACUACGUUUCAUUGGCACCGAUAGUUGACCUGUUGGCUGACUGAUAAAAUAUCAAUUUUGCACUUUAUAUUAAUUCUUUUUUGGUUAAAAAAUAACACACAAAGUAUUACAAUAUUAUAAAUUCAAAAUAUAAAGUAGUUACAAAUAAUUCCUACUAACCUAUGAAUAUAAUAUUUGAUACCUCUAUUUGUGUAAUAUUUUUCCAAUGGUGAAAUUGUUAUUUUUUUUGUACUAACGGAAAUGUAGUAAAAUCAUAAGUUUUGUAAAGAUAUAGUAGUAAAAUGAUAGACUAAAAUACUUGUUGUUGUUGUUUGAUAUACUGUAAUUCUUAAAGUAGUCAAUUGAUAAUAUCCCCUAAAAUAAAUGUUCGUAAUAUGUUCUCAUUUUAAUGCAACUGAUUGUUUAAUAAAAUUGUAUUUCUUUGUUAAUCUUUUAUCAUGUGCAUGCUCAGUGAGAAUUUGACUUACUAGAACGCAAGUUUGACUCUUCAUUUAAAUGUCUCUUGUAUCAUAUCCUUCAAUGUUGAGUGUGAUUCCAAUAAAAUUGAGUAGGGAGAUCCUUAAAUACCUUUUCCUUUUUUCCAAGGGCCUGCCAAAUUGCUCUAAGUGGUUCUACCCUUUAUCAAUGAAUAAUGAAAAAAAAAUUUUUAUUAAAGCAUUUUGUUCCUUAAAUGGUGACUAAUAGUACCCCUUUUUUUUGGAGAGGAAAGCCAAACAUGCCCAAAGAGAAUCAUUUACUUUCCUCUAAUGUAUUUUCUAAUUCGUUUUGAGCCUUGAAUGUCUGUUUUGGUGCGUAUUCUCAUUCCAUGUCGAAUCUUAUCCAUAUGGACAACCCCACUUACAAAAAAGUCUAAUGAAUCUAUUGAAGUUCAUAUGAGGUUUGUGCUUUAGAUUUAGACCUCUCUCUCUCUCUCUCUCCACUUACAUGUCUUUCACUUACCUGUUUGCAUGCAUGCCCAUGCACACACUUUCAAGAUAAUACACGGUCACUCGUACUUGUGUUUUGGUUGAAUUUCUGGCUGCUAACCUCUGUAAUUCAGUUUGAAACUUGCCACCCUUAGUGCUUCACUCAAAUGGUUGGUUAGGGUGAGAUCUGUAUCGUUUUCCUGGUCUCUUUCCAAGGUUAUCUAAAGGGAUUUGGCAGUCUGAUUCUUUAGGGAAUAUCAUUGCAUAAGAUAUCUAUUUUUUGUUAAUGAAUAAUUUCUAUUUAACUGGUUAUCUAUAUAAAUUG
rnacentral:lncRNA from 1 species